CUCAUUUCCUUGGACACUAGAAACCAGAAAUGAGAGAGAGAGAGAGAAAGAGAGUUGAUUUGCUGUUGCCUGCACUUCUUCAAGAGUAAAUAUCCACUGGAUUAAAUCCAACAACAACAACGAGCAACACUAAACCCUCACAAGGUUAAGCGCAAGAGUAAGAGCUAGUCAAGGGGUUACUGAACUGUAGCAAAGCUUUGCUAUCAGGUAUGUUUACUUUCAUAUAUAUCAAAUGAUUUAAAAGUUACAUUUAAGCAAGUUAUUUCGUUCCAAAUUAUAUGAACUGAAAAUUAUUUCAACUAUUAUCUUGCCAUAAAUAUUUCAAUUAUAGUAUGAUAUCUAUCUGCUUUGGCUUUG